rnacentral:rRNA from 1 species
UACGGAAGGCAGCAGGGGGGAAUAUUGCACAAUGGGCGAAAGCCUGAUGCAGCUAUGCCGCGUGUAUGAAGAAGGCCUUAGGGUUGUAAAGUACUUUCAUCGGGGAGGAAAAAACAAAACUAAUAAUUUUAUUUCUUGACGUUACCCGAAAAAGAAGCACCGGCUAACUCCGUGCCAGCAGCCGCGGUAAUACGGAGGGUGCUAGCGUUAAUCAGAAUUACUGGGCGUAAAGAGCACGUAGGUGGUUUUUUUAAGUCAGAUGUGAAAUCCCUGGGCUUAACCUAGGAACUGCAUUUUGAAACUGAAAUACUAGAGUAUCGUAGAGGGAGGUAGAAUUCUAGGUGUAGCGGUGAAAUGCGUAGAUAUCUGGAGGAAUACCUGUGGCGAAAGCGGCCUCCUAAACGAAUACUGACACUGAGGGUGCGAAAGCGUGGGGAGCAAACGAGGGAUUAGAUACC